UAGAAAGUCGCGAUGGUACUACCGAUGAACCGUCGCACUGCACCGUUGCACGUAACCCUAGUUCAGUGGGUCGGGUCAGAUCACUUUUAAUAACCGAUUUUUAAUUCCUAUCCAUUUCAAAAUGUUUUUAAAAGGAUAAGUUGGAGCGGUUAAGUAACUUCCAACAUUUCAAAACACCAGUGCCUUUUCAUUCCCCCUCACACCUCUUCAUUUUCCUUUCCCUCUCUAUUUAAAGUCUUAUUCUUCUCUUUCUCUUCUCAUCACAAAGAAACAAAAGUCUCUUCACUUAAACAAGUAAUCAUCUAUUUUUUGAAGUUCAUUGUGUGAAGUCUGAGUAGCGCAUUCUUACUACAACAACAAGGUACUAUGGCUCUUAAAGUUCCACCAUCCAGAGGCAGAGGCAGAAGCCAACAUGUCAGCCAAGCACAAAGUUCUGAUGUACCGGCUCGUAACACUGGCAGAAUCAUCAACCGGUAGUUUCUUCAUCCUCCUCUGCUGAAGAGGUAGUUCAGAGCAGCAGCAGCAGCACCUCUAUUUCCAUUCCACUUGAAGUGGGGGUCGAAACUUCUAACCCUGUUCAAGCGGAGGUUCAUGAACAAGAGGAUCCCAACGUCAACCGAUGAAAGGAUCGGCAGUUCAGGGAAGCAAUCAGAUGGCAAGUGCCGGCUGCUAGUAAGAUUUUCUACGAAGGGAUGGAACCAACAGAUAGGUCAUAAAUCAAAAUAGCUAUUUUCGAGGAGCACCAGAUUAUUACUACAAUCUUGCAUGAAUAUCCUGAACUCGAGCACAGGUUCAACGAGUAUCACUUGCAAUGGAUGAGUAGGCCACUGGGUUCGUACCAACCUAACUUGGUUCAGGAAUUCUUCACCAAUUAUUUGGCAUUUCUAAAAAGGGAUAUGCCGAAAGAGAAAGUGGAUGCUGACAGAAGUAAGCUCACAAAAGUUCCCGUGUGCGGAGUCGAUAUCGAUAUUUCAUCAUAAACUCUAAACAGGUUCUUAUUUGGGCCUGAAUAUCAGAUUCCCGAGCUAGUUCCAGAGUUAGAGCAUUGACUUUCCACACGAACUGCACAAAAGCCAUGGUUAUCCAAGAUCCUAACUGAUGGAGUCGAGCCUACAUGGUUACACGACCCCCACUCACACAUAUCGAAGAAAUCCUUAAGCUUUAGGGCCAAGUUCUGGUGGGCAAUCGUGCGACUGAGGUUGACACCUACAGGAGGUGAUGAUAGAUUAGAGCUCACUCGGGAUGUGAUUGUGGCUGCUUUGAUCAAGGGUUUUACAGUGGAUUUUGGCCACAUUAUCUUCGAUGAGAUAUUCUUUCGGGCUCACAGGACUACGACUGCCUUACCAUUUCCAUGCCUCAUCACCGAGCUGUGUAAGAGGGAAAAUAUUCCUUUGAUUAGUGGAGUAGAUAAUGAAGUUCUUGCACUGCACAAGAAGGACAUUGAAAAGACAAAGGAUGCUCACGAUUCUAUUUUAGGACAAAUAGGUCACCAGCUCAGCAGACUCAGUCCGCUCCAAUGCUCGAGCCAUCCGAUUUUCCUGAAGGUAUGCCCAUGCCUAUAACUAUUUAUGCACCUCCUACCACCUCUACAGGUUCAGCUUCUAUGCCGAUGGGCGAUAUCCCAGACUCCGCGUCUGUCCCACCCCUACCUUCUCAUUACAGGCUGAACCCUAACAACUUUGCAAAGACUGUGAAGACUUUUCAAAAGGUGGAGAAACAAAUAGCACUUUGGGGCAAAGAUUUCAAUCCUUUUGUGGAGAAAAUUAUUGCUGAUGCAUUCUGCCCGUUUCAAAAUAUCCAACUCCAGAUGGAAAAUAUGGAGGAGCGGAUAAAUAAAAAGAUAGAUGCUAUGUCCGUUCUAGAUUUUGCCAAAUUGAUUGAGGAAGUUCGGCGACUCUAGGAGGAUGUUGAUAGGAUACAGCAGUCUACCCUUGAUCCAUUUCAGAUUCCCAAUGAUGAUGAUAAAGGCCUGGUUGAUUUGUUCGGGUGUCCAAUCAAGGACAAAGGUAAGAAGGCAGUGGAGAUGGAUGAGCAAACUGAAAGGGCAACCAGGAAAUCUGCUAAGAGGGAGGAGCAAAAAUACAGAAUGGCAAAAAUGAUACCUCAGGAAAUGGAGAAAUUUCAGAUGGACCGGGCAACUAAAAAGUCAAAGAAGAUAGCUGAGCGAGAGGAGAAAAGGCACUGGGAUGCAGCCGCUGGAGUAUCUACUAGUGUAGCCACCACCAUGAGGGUAAACAUUGUUACCGGUGAGGCCACUGGGGCCUCACCUCAUUUGCAAGACACCUCAGAUGAAUAAGAGGCACACCACAAGUAUUUUCCCUUCCUUUACACUUACAUCAUAUGCAUUGGGGACAAUGCAUUAUUUUGUGCGGGGGUGGGAUUACUUGUACCAUGUGGGGUUAUGUUACCGUUAAUCAUUACCCUAUCAUGUAUUAUCUAGAAAAAUUGGCAUGUUUAGGAUUCUAUUAGUUUAAUUUCAGUUUUUGCAUGGAUAAUAGUACUAUCUAAGUUUAAUUUUAGUUUAAGUAUUAUGUUUUAUUUUUAAGUAUGGUUUCUUGGACAACCUUUCCAUCUAAUGAAUAAAAGUUUAGUUUAUGUUAA